rnacentral:rRNA from 1 species
UACAGAGGUCCCAAGCGUUGUUCGGAUUCACUGGGCGUAAAGGGUGCGUAGGUGGUGAGGUAAGUCGGAUGUGAAAGCUCGGAGCUCAACUCCGAAAUGGCAUUGGAAACUACCUUGCUCGAGGGUUGGAGGGGGGGACUGGAAUACUUGGUGUAGCAGUGAAAUGCGUAGAUAUCAAGUGGAACACCAGUGGCGAAGGCGAGUCCCUGGACAACUCCUGACACUGAGGCACGAAAGCUAGGGGGAGCAAAACAGG